rnacentral:rRNA from 1 species
GCAAGUCGAGGGGUAACAGGAGUAGCAAUACUUGCUGACGACCGGCGCACGGGUGAGUAACGCGUAUGCCACCUACCUCUAACUGAGGCAUAGCCCGGAGAAAUCCGGAUUAAUACCUCAUAAUAUUUCGAAUUCGCAUGUUUUCGAAAUUAAAGCUCUGGCGGUUAGAGAUGGGCAUGCGUGACAGGAGUUAGUGGGUGAGGUAACGGCUCACCAAGACUGCGAUGUCUAGGGGGUCUGAGAGGAUGGGC